rnacentral:lncRNA from 1 species
UCACUUUGGCUUUUUGGAGAGGUAGGGGAACUGGACCUUGAGGAUUGGGAACUAUGGUCACUCACUACCACCCCCCCCCCCCUUUACCAUCAUUGUUCUUUUGGAUGGACAAUUUGUAGCUUUGUGCCCAAAACCUAAGCAUUUUAAACAUUUUUUGUUUGAGGUUUUGGUGGGUAACUUAGGGGUAGAGGUGGAAGGUCUAAAAACUCUAUGGUUAGAAGUGGUUACUGUUGAAAAAUUGG